GGAAAAGGUCAUGUACAAGGUAAAACAAAGGAAUAAAAAAACACAGGCAUUACAUGGUUUUUCCAGUCUUCUUCCCAUUACUUCACAUGGGUAGAUGAAAAUAAGAAAAAUAAUUUUGGAAAUAAAAUCUCAGAGCUAGGAAAAAGAAAGUGAGAAAGAAGAAACUCUAAUACAGCAUAAGCACCAAACUUUCUUCCACUUGAUCAUAUUUACUCUAUUUUAAGGGCUUUUAACUGAACUACCCCUUUGAUGAGAGAAAAAGAGGGGGAAGAGUCAGCUCCACCACAGGAGGUGACUUGCCUGACAUCACUGAUAGAGCAAUGACACUGAGAUUCUCCCCUUGGAACCACACAGAAGCCAAUCGUCAGGAAAUCCUGCAUGCUCUUCUUUCAAAAUACUUAAAAUUCAAGUGCUUCUUGUGACCUCUCUUGUCUGAGCUAGCGUCUUCACCAGCCUGGGUACAGCAGUGGGCAUCUAUCCAGUCACCUAGCCACCAUCUCUGUCUUCCUGUUGCCUAUUCUCAACACAGCUAUGACAGUGAUCUGCAUAAAAUUUAAGGUCUCUACUCACACAUCAGUUUAUUAGAGACUUCUUCACUGACUACGGUAUAUAAAAUAAUAAAGUACUUCUGCCCCU
rnacentral:lncRNA from 1 species